rnacentral:lncRNA from 1 species
AAACAAGCAAUUAACCUGAAAGAAAUAGAGAUAUCAACAGAUAUAAAAUAUUUUAAUGAGAUAAUAUUUUGGUUAUAUCGCCCAGACUUAUUUAUUAUGACCAUUAAAUAAGGUUUUGUUAAGGUUAUUUCAGUUAUUAUGGUUGUUAGAAUAACAUUUCUGUUUUAGGUGAACAUUUCCCAUGAUUCCUGGCUUUGUCUCACCCUGAAGAACUCUUUGGUGGAGCCUGCGUCCAGAGUGCCGUAAGCAAUCUCAGUCUGUUUGGCCAAAUCUUCUGCACUCUCGAUGGGCGACACCAUCCUCUCUACUGUGAGAAAUGCAGCAAGGUUGGCUGUGUACGAGGAGAUGAUGAUUAGCGUAAAGAACCACCACACACCACCCACGAUACGGCCAGACAGAGACCUGUGGAAACAUACAAAUACUGUUUACAGAUCAUCCCUCAACCCCUGUAAAAACAUCAGCAGGCUGUGAUAAAACCCCGAGUCAAACUCUGAAAAUACACCACAGGCAAAAUGUGCGCGAGAGGCUCGGGCAGCAGAAAUGUGAAGCUGGCAGAGGGAAUCGCAGCUCACUGCUCUGAUGUUGUUUGACAGCUUUUGCCGGGCAGCGUUUUGAGCGGUGUGAAGCUGACACACUGAUCUCAUUCCUGCUCACAUGUCACAAUUUCUCCACCGCCGCUCAUAUUUAUUCCCUGCAUGUGUGGAAGGAGGACGAUUAUGCAAAUGAAAUUUACAGCAAACGUCGGCAAUUAAAUGAGAGAAAAGCUGUGAGAGAUUUCCCUAACGUCUGAAUAAUAUGCACGUUUCUCGUGCAUGUGUGUUUUUAUUUGUGCACUUUUAAUUUCUGAAAUAUCGCAGAUCUUUAUGAAACACUCUUGGCACAGAGUCUCUCAUUUAGACGGAUGUGUGAGUGUCUUAUAAAAUGCACUGCUGAGAUAGAACUACACUCUUGUGUUAUAUAAAUUAUGGCUAUGAUCAGUCUUCUGCGCUGCAUUUCUGGAUAACUCACUACUGAAUGACGGACAUAAAUACAUGAACGUCAUAUUUCAGGUGUUUUCUGCAGCAGUGUUGACAGCAUUGUUUCAAUUUGCUUUAAAGGGCACCUAUUGUACCCCUUUUACAAGAUGUAAGACAAGUCUUCGGUGCCUCCAGAAUGUGUCUGUAAAGUUUCAGCUCAAAAUACCCAUCAGAUUAUUUAUUAAAGCCUCCAGAAUAUGU